rnacentral:tRNA from 1 species
GCCUGGAUGGUGGAAUUGGUAGACACAAGGGACUUAAAAUCCCUCGGCGCGAGCCAUGCGGGUUCGAGUCCCGCUCCGGGCACCA